GGCUGAUUGGCUCAGUUGGUUAGAGCAUGGUGUUGAUAAUGCCAAGGUCACAGGAUUGAUCCCAUUUUAGGACA